UACGUAGGGUGCAAGCGUUGUCCGGAAUUAUUGGGCGUAAAGAGCUCGUAGGCGGUCUGUCGCGUCGGCUGUGAAAACCCGGGGCUCAACCCCGGGCCUGCAGUCGAUACGGGCAGACUAGAGUGCGGUAGGGGAGACUGGAAUUCCUGGUGUAGCGGUGGAAUGCGCAGAUAUCAGGAGGAACACCGGUGGCGAAGGCGGGUCUCUGGGCCGUAACUGACGCUGAGGAGCGAAAGCGUGGGGAGCGAACAGG
rnacentral:rRNA from 1 species